ACUCCUACGGGAGGCAGCAGUGGGGAAUCUUAGACAAUGGGCGCAAGCCUGAUCUAGCCAUGCCGCGUGAGUGAUGAAGGUCUUAGGAUCGUAAAGCUCUUUCGCCAGGGAUGAUAAUGACAGUACCUGGUAAAGAAACCCCGGCUAACUCCGUGCCAGCAGCCGCGGUAAUACGGAGGGGGUUAGCGUUGUUCGGAAUUACUGGGCGUAAAGCGCGCGUAGGCGGAUUGGAAAGUUGGGGGUGAAAUCCCAGGGCUCAACCCUGGAACUGCCUCCAAAACUCCCAGUCUUGAGUUCGAGAGAGGUGAGUGGAACUCCGAGUGUAGAGGUGAAAUUCGUAGAUAUUCGGAAGAACACCAGUGGCGAAGGCGGCUCACUGGCUCGAUACUGACGCUGAGGUGCGAAAGUGUGGGGAGCAAACAGGAUUAGAUACCCUGGUAGGAUAGCG
rnacentral:rRNA from 1 species